GACGUCGAAUAUCGACGUCAUCAACACCAAAGUUGUUCGUGUUUAUGACGUCGAAUAUCGGCGUCAUAAACACGAAAGUUGUUCGUGUUUAUGACGUCGAAUAUCGACGUCAUAAACACCAAAGUUGUUCGUGUUUAUGACGUCGAAUAUCGACGUCAUAAACACCAAAGUUGUUCGUGUUUAUGACGUCGAAUAUCGACGUC
rnacentral:miRNA from 1 species